rnacentral:lncRNA from 1 species
GUCGCCGCUCGCGCUCCCGUCACGGGGCGGGCGGCUUCGCGGGGCCGCCUCGCUGCGGGACCCGGCUCGGCGCGUCCGGAGGGCGGAGGACAAUUGUAUAUGACUCAUAGAAAUGUCUACGGCAACUCCUGCCUGGAAAUGCGCUUUGGCUUACGCAUCCCUCUUGAUGCAGAGUUCCCCAGCAGCCUUGCAGAACAGUUUGACAGUGAUUACUUUGGUAACACCACUUCCCACGGCCCAAGCAGCUUUGGGCAGCUUGUCUUAGUGUUACCUUUGUGCUCAGUGCUCUUAACAAUUACAGUGUACGUCCCUAACAAUCCCACUUCAGAACAACUUUCCUUCUCUCCUGCUGGAGUGAUUGAAAGGGUGAAGUGAAUAGAAUAGAACAAGGAUUUAUGUUUCUGAAGUUUGUUCAAAAUAAAGUCCUGAAGACAAACUAAAGUGCA